UACGUAGGGGGCAAGCGUUGUCCGGAUUCUUUGGGCGUAAAGAGCGUGUAGGCGGCCAGGUAGGUCGGUUGUGAAAACUGGAGGCUCAACCUUCAGAGGUCGACCGAAACCAUCUGGCUAGAGUCCGGGAGAGGAGAGUGGAAUUCCUGGUGUAGCGGUGAAAUGCGCAGAUAUCAGGAAGAACACCCGUGGCGAAAGCGGCUCUCUGGAACGGUACUGACGCUGAGACGCGAAAGCGUGGGGAGCGAACAGG
rnacentral:rRNA from 1 species